AGAGCAGUAGAGUUUGAUCAUGGCUCAGGAUGAACGCUGGCGGCGUGCCUAAUACAUGCAAGUCGAGCGAACAGAAAAAGAGCUUGCUCCUAUGAAGUUAGCGGCGGACGGGUGAGUAACACGUGGGCAACCUACCCAAAAGACUGGGAUAACUCCGGGAAACCGGGGCUAAUACCGAAUAACAUCUUGAACCGCAUGGUGAAAAACUGAAAGACGGCUUCGGCUGUCACUAAAGGAUGGACCCGCGGCGCAUUAGCUAGUUGGUGAGGUAACGGCUCACCAAGGCAACGAUGCGUAGCCGACCUGAGAGGGUGAUCGGCCACACUGGGACUGAGACACGGCCCAGACUCCUACGGGAGGCAGCAGUAGGGAAUCUUCCACAAUGGACGAAAGCCUGACGGAGCAACGCCGCGUGAGUGAAGAAGGCUUUCGGAUCGUAAAACUCUGUUGUAAGGGAAGAACAAGUACUAGUAGAAUAAGCUGGCUGUACCUUGACGGUACCUAACCAGAAAGCCACGGCUAACUACGUGCCAGCAGCCGCGGUAAUACGUAGGUGGCAAGCGUUAUCCGGAAUUAUUGGGCGUAAAGCGCGCGCAGGCGGUCCCUUAAGUCUGAUGUGAAAGCCCACGGCUCAACCGUGGAGGGUCAUUGGAAACUGGGAGACUUGAGUGCAGAAGAGGAAAGUGGAAUUCCAAGUGUAGCGGUGAAAUGCGUAGAGAUUUGGAGGAACACCAGUGGCGAAGGCGACUUUCUGGUCUGUAACUGACGCUGAGGCGCGAAAGCGUGGGGAGCAAACAGGA
rnacentral:rRNA from 1 species